rnacentral:rRNA from 1 species
GAUGAACGCUAGCGAUAGGCUUAACACAUGCAAGUCGAGGGGCAGCACAAGGUAGCUUGCUAUCUGGGUGGCGACCGGCUCACGGGUGCGUAACGCGUAUGCAACUUGCCCUAUACAGGAGGAUAACCCGUCGAAAGACGGACUAAUACUGCGUAUGCUCACAACUUGGCAUCAAGUGGUGAGGAAAGAAAUUCGGUAUAGGAUAGGCAUGCGUCCCAUUAGCUUGUUGGUGAGGUAACGGCUCACCAAGGCAACGAUGGGUAGGGGAACUGAGAGGUUUAUCCCCCACACUGGUACUGAGACACGGACCAGACUCCUACGGGAGGCAGCAGUGAGGAAUAUUGGUCAAUGGGCGCGAGCCUGAACCAGCCAAGUCGCGUGAAGGAUGACUGUCUUAUGGAUUGUAAACUUCUUUUAUACGGGAAUAACAAGAGUCACGUGUGACUCCCUGCAUGUACCGUAUGAAUAAGCAUCGGCUAACUCCGUG